GACGAACGCUGGCGGCGUGCUUAACACAUGCAAGUCGAACGGAAAGGCCCUGCUUUUGUGGGGUGCUCGAGUGGCGAACGGGUGAGUAACACGUGAGUAACAUGCCCUUGACUUUGGGAUAACUUCAGGAAAAUGGGGCUAAUACCGGAUAGGAGCUCCUGCUGCAUGGUGUGGGUUGGAAAGUUUCGGCGGUUGGGGAUGGACUCGCGGCUUAUCAGCUUGUUGAGCGGGUAGUGGCUUACCAAGGCUUUGACGGGUAGCCGGCCUGAGAGGUUGACCGGCCACCUUACGACUGAGAUACGGCCCAGACUCCUACGGGAGGCAGCAGUGGGGAAUCUUGCACAACGGCGGGAAGCCUGAUGCAGCAACGCCGCGUGCGUGAUGACGUCUUUCGGGUUGUAAACCGCUUUCGCCUGUGACGAAGCGUGAGUGACGGUAAUGGGUAAAGAAGCACCGGCUAACUACGUG
rnacentral:rRNA from 1 species